UACAGAGGGUGCGAGCGUUAAUCGGAAUUACUGGGCGUAAAGCGCGCGUAGGCGGCUUUGCAAGUCGGGUGUGAAAUCCCCAGGCUUAACCUGGGAACUGCAUUCGAGACUGCAUUGCUAGAGUAUGGGAGAGGGAAGUGGAAUUUCCGGUGUAGCGGUGAAAUGCGUAGAUAUCGGAAGGAACACCAGUAGCGAAGGCGACACUCUGGGCCGGUACUGACGCUGAGGAGCGAAAGCGUGGGGAGCAAACAGG
rnacentral:rRNA from 1 species